rnacentral:rRNA from 1 species
AUACGGAGGGUGCGAGCGUUAUCCGGAUUUAUUAGGUUUAAAGGGUGUGUGGGCGGGAGCCUAAGUCAGUGGUGAAAUCUCACAGCUUAACUGUGAAACUGCCAUUGAAACUGGGUUUCUUGAGUAUAGCUGAGGUAGGCGGAAUGUGUAAUGUAGCGGUGAAAUGCAUAGAUAUUACACAGAACACCGAUUGCGAAGGCAGCUUACUAAGCUAUUACUGACGCUGAUGCACGAAAGCGUGGGUAGCGAACAGGAUUAGAUACCCCAGUAGUCC